rnacentral:rRNA from 1 species
GGUCUACCCAUUUCUCCAGAAUGGCGCAUGGUAACUUGUGCUAAUACCGUAUGAGCCCUUCGGGGGAAAGAUUUAUCGGGAAAGGAUGAGCCCGCGUUGGAUUAGCUAGUUGGUGGGGUAAAGGCCUACCAAGGCGACGAUCCAUAGCUGGUCUGAGAGGAUGAUCAGCCACAUUGGGACUGAGACACGGCCCAAACUCCUACGGGAGGCAGCAGUGGGGAAUAUUGGACAAUGGGCGCAAGCCUGAUCCAGCCAUGCCGCGUGAGUGAUGAAGGCCCUAGGGUUGUAAAGCUCUUUCACCGGUGAAGAUAAUGACGGUAACCGGAGAAGAAGCCCCGGCUAACUUCGUGCCAGCAGCCGCGGUAAUACGAAGGGGGCUAGCGUUGUUCGGAAUUACUGGGCGUAAAGCGCACGUAGGCGGAUUGUUAAGUGAGGGGUGAAAUCCCAGGGCUCAACCCUGGAACUGCCUUUCAUACUGGCAAUCUAGAGUCCAAAAGAGGUGAGUGGAAUUCCGAGUGUAGAGGUGAAAUUCGUAGAUAUUCGGAGGAACACCAGUGGCGAAGGCGGCUCACUGGUCUGGAACUGACGCUGAGGUGCGAAAGCGUGAGGAGCAAACAGGAUUAGAUACCCUGGUAGUCCACGCCGUAAACGAUGAAUGUUAGCCGUCGGGCAGUUUACUGUUCGGUGGCGCAGCUAACGCAUUAAACAUUCCGCCUGGGGAGUACGGUCGCAAGAUUAAAAC